GCAGCCGCAAGAAAUUCCAGGCAGCGGGGGCGUCUGGAGCAGCUUCCUCCCCUCUUCCUUUUCCUCGCCGGCGGCGACAACACCGUUACCUGCAAAACAAUCAAAACGCAACACAGGCAGUUGAUUUUAGUUUUCAUUUCCUUUGUUUUUUUCAAAUCUUCUUCGGUUUCUUCCCUUUUUUUAAAUCUGUCCCGUUUCUCUGCCUCCUCUGCAGAUCGGUCAUCUUCUUCUUCUUUCGGUGGCAGAUCCGCCGUGGAGGACCCAGCGUCGUGGGUGAGGAGGCGGCGUCGCUGUUAUGGGAAAGAGACGUCGCUGCAAGGCUGGCGGAGUUUGCUGCUGGAGACCGGUCUGCGGGUUAGGAGAUCGCCUUCUUCUCCUCUGUUUCGGGUGGCAGAUCGGGUCUGUGAGAGAGGAGCUGCUGCUGGGUCGUUGAUGACGGGUGGAAGAGAUGACUGGUCUUGGCUGGUCUGCGGCCGUUGCUGUUGAAGGAAACGAAGGUGAAGAAGAUGCUGCUACUGCUGGGGGAGGAGCUGCGGAAGAAGGGAGCCGCUGUGGAGGCUGUUGUCUGCUGGAGGAAGACGGUGCUGCUUCACGGGGAGGGGCCGUCGCUGCUGGAAGAAGAAGAAAACCAGAGGGCAAAGGGGAGUGGCCGGUCUCUGUUUGUGUUGCCAGAGAGGGAAGGUCCGGAGCUGGAGGGGAAAAGCUGGGACGGUGAUGAGAGGAAAUGGGGGAAAUGUUGAGCCGGCUGGAGAGGGAAAGACGAAGUGGCUGAGAAGGGGAGGCUUGUGUGCCGUCCAAAGAGCCAAGCUCUAGGAUGGCGAGAAGAAGGAAAAAAUCUGAUGAAGGAUGGGGGGUGGCGGCUCCGGUUGAGGGAGAAGAAAAAAUGAUAAGCUUUUAGGGUUUCUCUUUUUGUUGCCCCUUUUAAUUGCCAAAUUGCCCCCCC
rnacentral:lncRNA from 1 species